rnacentral:lncRNA from 1 species
CGCAGCCUCAGCCUCCUGGGCUCAGGCGAUCCUCCCGCCUCAGCCUCCCGAGUACCUGGGACCGCAGACGCGCUCCACCAUGCCUGUUCUUUGUUGUUGUUGUUGAGACAGGGUCUCAUUAUGUUGUCCAGGCUGGACAUGAACUCCUGGGCUCAAGCAUCCUCCUGCCUUGGCUUCCUGUUGUGAUUAUAGGUGUGAAAUACUACACCCAGCCUGAUUUUUGGUUUUAGAGACAGGAUCUUGCUGAGCUGCCCAGGUGGGAAGGCAAUGGCUGUUCGCAGGCUCACUCACGGUGCACUACCGCCGUGAGCUCCUGGACUCAAGUGAUCCUCCUGCUGCAGCCUCCCAAGCAGCUGGGACCACAGGUGUGAGCCAUGUUUCCAGUUUAUCACAGAGCCAAGCUGGGCCCAGUUCCUUCUACUCUCCUGUGAGACUGUCUUCGCUGUCCCCCAGCGGGAAGGAGGAAAGCAGCUCCCUGGUGUGGGGGGAGGUGGGUGGAGGUUGUGUGCGGCUCCACGUGCUGGGGCCCUUCCCCUCCUGCCAGGCUCAGGCCCAGGCCCAGCUGCCGCUUGGAAAUGGCGACCCCUGAAUGGAGACCUGUCUUGCCAGAUGCUGCACGGUCUCCUGGGCAGAGCAGGCGCUCUCUGUGCGGGGAGCUGACGGCUCACGGGCUUUCCACAAAAACCUCUCACCUCCUUCCAGGUUUUACAAAAGCCACCAGCUUCUCUUCUACAGCAGCAAAAGCCGCCAUAUUUCUUUCCUUUUUCUGUUGAAGCCUGGGGCCUUACGCCUUGGCAAGGUGUCAGCUUCCCUGAGAGGGGGACCCUGUGCCAGAAAGGGGUGCCAGCUUCCCUAAGAGGGGGACCCUCGGCUGGGGAGGGGCACCGGCUUC